ensembl:lncRNA
AACGGCCCCGCCGCUCCUUUCCAGCGCCGGCUGUGGCACGCGUCGGCUGUCAGCUCAAAUCCCGGCAUCGACGUGGUUAUGUUGCCGGUGGUUACGACGCUGCUUUGUCCGUAGGCUUUUAGAACCAACGGUGCAGGUGGCAUUUUCCUCGUACGAUUGUACCAAGAGGUCGAGCUGCAACGUACACGGGCAGUUAAGGAAACAAAGCCUUUCGGUCACCACCUUGUUGCGAAAGUCCUCAGCACUCCGUAAGCAAACCAGCAGAUCCAUAUGUAGUGGCUGGAAUUCAUCGUGCCGCUGUAUGGAGGCACUGGAUGCUGAAGAAGCAUCUGACUUCGCGAGGGGGGCACAUCUCCAAGCACACGGCUGCGUACAGACUUCAGCAAGCAGCCAUUAAACGCACGCAGUGAGGCACCAGGAGUGCGGUGAAGGUGAGCGCUGGUGCCGGACUGGGGCUGAGGCGGCCACCUGUCCUGGCGCAGGUCGGCUCUGAGGGACACACUGUGCCAGCCCGUGACUGAGAGGCCGGCGCGCGGCCACGCGGGGUCCGCAACACACGGCAACGGCGUCGGGAACGGCCCUGCCCUUCCCUCCCCGCCGUCGCUCCCGGCGGCCCCGCA